AACGAACGCUGGCGGCAUGCCUAACACAUGCAAGUCGAACGAGACCUUCGGGUCUAGUGGCGCACGGGUGCGUAACGCGUGGGAAUCUGCCCUUGGGUUCGGAAUAACAGUUGGAAACGACUGCUAAUACCGGAUGAUGACGUAAGUCCAAAGAUUUAUCGCCCAAGGAUGAGCCCGCGUAGGAUUAGCUAGUUGGUGAGGUAAAGGCUCACCAAGGCGACGAUCCUUAGCUGGUCUGAGAGGAUGAUCAGCCACACUGGGACUGAGACACGGCCCAGACUCCUACGGGAGGCAGCAGUGGGGAAUAUUGGACAAUGGGCGAAAGCCUGAUCCAGCAAUGCCGCGUGAGUGAUGAAGGCCUUAGGGUUGUAAAGCUCUUUUACCCGGGAUGAUAAUGACAGUACCGGGAGAAUAAGCGCCGGCUAACUCCGUG
rnacentral:rRNA from 1 species